AUGGCAGCACGGCUGCCCCGCCGCGCCAAACCCAGCGGCGGCCGCACCCAGCCCGGCUCGGCAUUCACUGCUCCUGCGGCUCCGCAGUGGCCGCUCCGGAGCGGCUUUUCCCUCGCCUUGGCGCCACAGUUCGCCGGCUCCCAGCGGGCGCAGACACAGCCUGGCCCUUCCCGGCCCCGUUCCCGGCCCUUCCCGCCCUGCGCGGGCGGACCCUGGCGGUCCCGGUGCUCCCUCGGGCGCCGUGCGGGGCCGGGCAGCGGCAGGACGGAGCUUCACCGCUGUGGGACUGCGCACGAACGGUGCUUCUGGCUGGCCCUGGCCUCCCGCCGGCCCUCCCGUGUCCGCGACGCCUGUGGGGAAGGAAAGCUUGUCUGCGCACACCGCGCACCUCAGCGGUGUCAGCACAGCCAGCACCUGAAUGUGCUCCUUGUUCCUUCCUGGCACUCCCUCCUACCAGACAGAUUUCUGCAGUCAAAACAUUUCGGUGCAAAGCAGCUCAGGAGCUUGACUUGCAGUCCUGAUGCACCAACAGAUGUAUCCAAGAAGAACGGAAGAGCUUGGAAGAGUGGCUGAAGCCACAGAGCAACAAAUCCUCAUUCUGCUCACUCGCUGCUGUCUGUGGACUGGCAGAAGAGUGGGGUACCUCUGGCCACUAAGGGAGAUGCUCUCAAAAUUGCAGGUUCCUGCUAUUCCACAUUAGUCACUCCACGUUAGUCAAAAAUUAAACAGCCAGCAGUGAAAACACGUAUAUUGCCCAGAUGCAAACAGGCAUUUUUGGAGAGAACCUAGUGGAUGUGGGAGACCAGCUCUUCCAUGAUUCACAUCCCCCCCAAGGAGGCAGUUGUGUUCCAAAUGACCCUGUGUGGGGUUGCUGUAAAGUACAACCUUCCACGAAGAAACUAACUUCUCCUUUGCUAUAUUGUGUGUUACUGAAAAAAAAAAAAAAAGGGAUUAUAGAAGAACAUCUGAGAUGGUUUCUGAAAGUUGUGUCUCCUGAUGCAGACAAAUGGCAGUUUGUGUUUACAGUAUUUCCCAGCGAAUGCUGGUACAUGCGGUUUCUCCUGCUCCAUAAUGACAUGAUGCUGGGAAUUUGAUCAAUGAACAACUCAGUCCUGUUAGAGCACAACAAUUUGGCAUGUCUUUGGAGCUGUCUGUACUUUGAAACUGGACUUAAUUUGAAUACAGAAAUUACACUUCGUUUUUGCAAGAAACUGUUCUAAAAAAGUAUCUUCGAUGUUCCGUCUUCACCAAACACCAAGUGAAAUACUCUUUCAGGUGUUUUUGCCCAUGCAGUUUGGAAAAUAAAAAACUGAAUCUGUAGUUGUGGUUUUGGGGUGUAGUUGGGUUUUGGGGUGUGUUUUUUUUUUUAUUCUACAAAAAGAUCUUUACACCUGUAUGGUAUAUUCCAGAGCUGUGUAUACAGCUCAUUUCUUUGAUGCAUGAAUAUCUCUGAGCUCCUCAGGUGAAAGCUGGGAAAAAAUUUAUAAUUAGCUGGAUUGUAAGAUACUACCCUUGUGACACCUACAACUAUAGUCCUAAUUCUAGUUGAAAGAUGAGGCUGAAAUGUUU
ensembl:lncRNA